rnacentral:rRNA from 1 species
AUUGAACGCUGGCGGCAUGCCUUACACAUGCAAGUCGAACGGCAGCACGGGUGCUUGCACCUGGUGGCGAGUGGCGAACGGGUGAGUAAUACAUCGGAACAUGUCCUGUAGUGGGGGAUAGCCCGGCGAAAGCCGGAUUAAUACCGCAUACGAUCUACGGAUGAAAGCGGGGGACCUUCGGGCCUCGCGCUAUAGGGUUGGCCGAUAGCUGAUUAGCUAGUUGGUGGGGUAAAGGCCUACCAAGGCGACGAUCAGUAGCUGGUCUGAGAGGACGACCAGCCACACUGGGACUGAGACACGGCCCAGACUCCUACGGGAGGCAGCAGUGGGUAAUUUUGGACAAUGGGCGAAAGCCUGAUCCAGCAAUGCCGCGUGUGUGAAGAAGGCCUUCGGGUUGUAAAGCACUUUUGUCCGGAAAGAAAUCCUUGGCUCUAAUACAGUCGGGGGAUGACGGUACCGGAAGAAUAAGCACCGGCUAACUACGUG